GGCUGACCCCAACAGCGCCGGAUGCACUCGCGGCAGAAGUUGUGGCCGCAGUCGGUCAUCACCGGGUCAGUGAAGUAGUCGAGGCAGAUGGCGCAGGUGGCCUCCUCUUGGAGUUCCCUCUUGGAAGCAUCUGUCAAUGCAGUCUCAACAUUUGACCCCUUUAAUCAUGGUUAUACUUUGAGGGAUUGCAUAGUGGAUGACUCUGAGUCACACGGAGGAGCCUGGCAGGUGGCCAUGGCAAGCAAAGGAAGGACCCUUCUGAGGAGACCCAGGUUUAAUUCCUGGGCCAGCCACCAAACCCAGAAGGGUAGAAGGAUUUUUUUUUUCUCAUGCUGUAGCCUUGCAAUGGAGACGAGGAAGCCUUUCACAGCAUCUCCCAUUGAGCAAAGCCUCCUCCACCGGCAGCACCCUGUGCAGCCGGUGCUCCCGAGCCUCCCUGCAGACAACACAGAUGGGAGUCUGGUCCUCCUGGCAGAACAGCUUGAGGGGCUCCUGGUGCAUCUGGCACAGGUCCCGCUUAUGGAGCCCAGGAUGCUGGCGUGCCAUCUCGGCCACCUUGCCACAGUGUGUCCCUGCCUGCCUCUGCUGCGUUUGGAGGGAGCCCCAUUUCUGCACUAAGGAAACACUUCCAUUGCAACAUGUUCCAAUAAAGAGCCUUUUAAACAUUGUCAGAAUAAUUUUUUUUUUCUUUAACAAAACCCCAGUACAACAAAAGAAGGAGAACUUCAGGGAGAUGACAGCUUUUCCAUUAGGGAGCAAAGUGUAGUGUGGAAAAGACAAGCAUGUGCAUAACUAUGCACGUGCACGCGCGCACGCACGCACACACACACACACACACAAAACUUACAUGCACACAUGAACACAAAACGUACACAGGUGUAUGCAAACAUGGGCUCACACUAAUACCCCCCAAAUGUGCAUAUUUACAAACACACGUGCACAUAGAAAACAUACAAAUGAACAAACACACCACAUAGGAACAGGCAUGUAAACAUGUGCCCUACACGGUAUAUGUGUACAAAUGCAUACACUAAAACAUACCAUACUCAGGUAUAUGUAAACAUGCAUGCCCACAGGUAUACAUGCAUGUGCACAUAUGCUUGCAUACAGAGACGUGCAGAUGCACAGGGCACAUGCAACACACAGGCACUUUUCCAAAUUUGAAGAGGCAGGACUCAUGCAUGGGGAGACCCUUCCCCUCCCUACCUCACAGGGUCCUUGUUGGGGCCAGUAGAGAGAACGAAUUUGAACCUGUCUAAGCUCCCAGAGCUCACUCCUACCCCACUCUUCUGCAAUCCCUAAAGCCGUGGCGUCUCUGGAGUCCACAGAUGUUCUGAAGUGGGUCCACGUUAAUUUUAAGAGAGCCCUCUGUAAGCAGAGCAGGUGACAUUAGCUCCCAGCCCCCAGUCCUCAGGAGCCUGAAGGGGGACAUGGCUGGGCAAGGGAAAGGUGGACAUGGAUGUCUGGCUUAGGCUGAAGCUCUGGUGGCCCUCAGGGUUCUGGGCACUCCUAAUGUCCCACUAAUGUCCCAUUGUCCAUCUGGGCUUCAUUUAAGGAACUGAGAAUACAGACUGGUUCAUGGUCCCAAGUGUGACCCUCCCCAGGGACAGAAAAGCCCAGCAGAAGCGGGAAGCACGGCAUUGGGGGGCGGUGGGGCGGGAGUCAGGCUUGACCAGACACGGCGGGAGGCGGUCUCUGAGGAGCUGGUACUCACAAAAGAGGGCCCUACACUGCGCCCGGCGCCCAGGCCCAGCACGCACACACGCGGCUGGGAAAGGCUGGGUUUGCGCGGCGGAGUCCAUGGGGUGACCGCCGGGCCUGGGAGCGCCGGGGUAGUGCGGCACAGGGGCUUUGGCACAGGGGCUUUGUGGCGUCAGCAGGACGAGCGGGUCAGCAAGGGGCAGGGGCCCCGGGGCGGGACUUGCAGGGAGAGCGAGAUGGAGGCGGGGCCUCUCUGCCAUGGGGCGGGGCUUGCUGGAAGCGGGAGGAGAUAGAGGCUGGGCCUCUCCAGCCCGAGCAACAGAAAUUGGACUAAGUGCCUCAUAAGAGACUUGAGUGGACUUCCUGCACCAGGAAGGCACAGCAGGUGGCGCCAUCCCUGAAGGAGAGUCACACCAGACACCAUGUCUGUCAGCAACUUGAUCUUGGACUUUCAGCCCUCCAGAACCUUGAGAAUAAAUUCUGUUGUCUAUAAAUCA